rnacentral:tRNA from 1 species
GCCCCGUUCGUCUAGUGGCCUAGGACACCACCCUCUCAAGGUGGCGGCACGGGUUCGAAUCCCGUACGGGGUA